GGGGUUGUAGCUCAGUGGUAGAGCACUUGCCUAGCAUGCGUGAGGCACUGGGUUCAAUCCUCAGCACCA
rnacentral:tRNA from 1 species